UUUGCCGGCACAUGUGCCGGCAUCGAGCGAGGCAGGUUGAAUCUGCCUCGCAAGAGGGAACCCGGUGAGAGUCCGGGACUGUCCCGCAGCGGUAUGCAGGAACGACCGCCGUCAUCAGCACUGGUCGCCAGACUGGGAAGCGACGGCCACUAGGAGCACUUCGGUGCGCGCCUGCGAGUCCGAAGACCUGCCGGCUGUGCCGGAUGCGCC
rnacentral:ncRNA from 17 species